rnacentral:lncRNA from 10 species
AUUUUACCAUUUUUAUUAAAGUGUUAUAAAAGAGUAAAUGCAUUCAUGUAGAGGCAAGAAUAUAAGUUAAACUAGUUACAUGAGAUGACAGCCUGAAUAACAGUCUCUCAAAGAUGUUCACGUCCUAGUCCAGGAAACUGUGACUGUGUUAUCUUACCUGGCGUAAGGAAUUUAGCAGAUGUUAUUAAGUUGAGGAUCUUGAGAUUAUCUCAUAUUAUUUGAGUGGAUCUGAUUUAAUCACAAGGGUCCUUUUAAGAGGGCAGCAGGAAGUCAGAGAGGAGAAAAGAUGCUUAGCUGCUGGUUUUGAAGAUUAGAGGAAGGAACCAAAGAAUGCAGGCAGCCUCUGAAAGCUGGAAGAGGCGCGGAAGCAGAUUCUUCCCGAAGUGUCCAGAAGACAUGCAGAGCAGCCAACACCUUGAGGUUAGACUUCUGAUUUUAGACUUACGCUUCUGACCUCCAGACAGUUCUGUAGUCACACUUGCCACCUUCUGAGGCUCAGUAGUCUCCUGGAUAGUAGCCACUGCAUUGAAUGUUACAGAUAAAGAAUAUUUCAAUCGCUGCAGAAAGUUCUGUUUGUUGCACGGUGCUGGUGAGAGUUGCAGGAGUGGGAAGGAAAGAGGAGACAGGGAAGCCUCUCUGAGAUGAAGACGUCUGGCUGAGACUUGCAGGGUGGGAAGGAGGCAGUUCUGUGGAGCAGGAAGAUGUGUUUCAGGCAGAGGGGACAAAAGGUGCAGACACACUGAAACAGGAGCACACCUGGAGUUUGAGAGAAAAAGAAAGAACAGGAUGGCUGGAGGAGGGUGAACAAGAGGGAGGGUGUUAAAGGAGGAAGUUGAUCAGGUGGUCAAAGUAACACUUUGUACUCCUGCCAGAUCACUAAAAGGACUGCAACUUCAGUCGGGUGCUCCUUAACACCCUCUCCUGGAAGGCAGCCACUGUGCCGCAAGGAAGCCCUCUAAGGCAGCCCAUGGCAAGAUCUCUACGGAGAUCCCUACAACUGUGCCGGAGCUCCCAGGUGGAAAGCAGGUGGCUUGAAAGAGGCUCCUUCAGCCUCCAGCGGAGAACCCCAGCUGACCCUGCGUGGAGCAGAGACUCACCAUUCCCAUCAAGCCCUGCCCAAAUUACAAAAUCAUGAGCAAAACAAAUGAUGGUGGUUGUUUUAAGAUAAACGAUACAGAGAGACCCAGCUACAAAGUGGUGGAGGGGAAGCGAGUCCUGUAGCUUUCAGCUGCGUUGCAUCAAAUAAUCCAGCUUUGCCACAUCACAGCUGGGAAACGUCAGGCAAAUCUCCCCGCAGGUGAGAGCACCUAGCACAACUGCAGACACUUAGAAUAAGCAAAUACUACUGCUUGAGUGUUAAAACUCCUCAAACCCCACUUGGAAGUAUAAACACAUCUUCCUUUAUCAACGUUAAGAGUUAAACUUGUCCCACCGGAUCUAAUUUGGAGGUUUCUUCUUUAGUAGGUCUCACACUUUACAGAAGCCAGCUGAUGAGUCUGUUAAACUGAAAACCCAGAAUCUUUCUCAGUUCUCCCAUUUCCCACUUCUGGGGUCAAACCCUGGAGUUUGUAUUUUAAAAUAUUUUUCAACUUUACUGACAUACAAUUGAAGUACACUAAAUGGCAUAUAUUGAAAGUGCACAAUGUGAUCAGUUUUGACACAUGUAUACCUCCAUGAAUCCAUCUUCACAAUCAAGAUUAUAAAUAUUUCCUUGACUAGCCGGGUGCAGUGGCUCAUGCCUGUAAUCCCAGCAUUUUGGGAGGCUGAGGCGGGCAGAUCACCUGAGGUCAGGAGUUCGAGACCAGCCUGUCCAGCAUGGUAAACCCCGUCUCUACUAAAAAUACAAAAAUUAGCCGGGCAUGGUGGCAGGUGCCUGUAAUCCCAGCUACUCUGGAGGCUGAGGCAGGAGAAGCGCUUGAACCCGGGAGGCAGAGGCUGCAGUGAGCCAAGAUCAUGCCAUUGCACCCCAGCCUGGGAGACAAGAGCAAGACUUCAUCUUAAAAAAAAAAUUUCCUUGACCACCAAAGAUGGCUUUUGUACCCUUUGUAAUCCAGCCUUCCUUCCAUCACUUUACCCGACAACCACUGAUAUGCUUUGUCACUCUAUUCGUGCAUACUUUAAAAAAAACAAAAACACUGCACUCCAGCCUGGUGACAGAGCGAGACUCUGUCUCAGAAAAAAAACAAAAAGAAAAAAACAAAAAACAAAAACUUUAUAUAUUGAAUCAUAUCUCAUGAACUCUUUUUGUUGUCUGGCUUGUGUCACUCAACACCAUGAUUUUGAGAUUCGUCCACAUAGUUCAUGUAUCAACAUUUCAUUCCUCUUUAUUGCUGAUUAAUACUCCAGCGUAUGAACGCCACAGUGUCCAAUCAUCUGCUGAUGGACAUUUGGGUUGUUUCCAAUUUUGGCUAGGACAAAUAAAGCUGCUGUGAACAGCCAUGGGUAGUUGGGUACACUUGGGAGUUGAAUGACUGAGCUGCAUGGCAGAUGAUGUUUAACUUUUUUUAUAAACUGCAAAACCAUUUUUGCCAAGUGGUUUUACCUUCUUAUGUCCCUUACAGCAGUGCAUGAGAGUUCUGGCUAUCCCACAUCUUUGCCAACACUUGGUACAGUUUUAAAAAUUUUAGCCAGUGGUGUGCUGGACCCAGCUUGCACCAGCUUGUGGGAGCCAACUCUGCAUCUUUUCCCAAUUCUGGGUUCAGCGACUUCUUGUUGGUACCUUGAAAUCAACCAUGGUGGAAAUAUUUACUCCAUAGA